AAACACCUCUCGUACGAUCACCGAUGUUAAGCAACAUCGAGUCUGGUCAGUACUUCGAUGGGUGACCGUUUGGAAAUAACAGGUGUCAUA